rnacentral:misc_RNA from 1 species
GUGAAUCAUCGAAUCUUUGAACGCAAGUUGCACUCUCUGGUAUUCCGGAGAGUAUGCCUGUUUGAGGGUCAGUUUAAAUAAAAAUCGGUGUGGUUGCUGCAUAUCGUGGUGACGUAUCGGUCUUGGGUCGUCUUGCUUUCGGUUAAGUGACAUAUAAUUUUGCAUGAUUUUUUUCGAACGUAUUUAAAUGAUUUUAAGUACGUUUGCGAUAUCGAAUACUAGGUGUGGUAAUUAUCAUGAAUAGUGCCUAUAA